rnacentral:rRNA from 1 species
GACAGAGGGGGCAAGCGUUGCUCGGAAUCACUGGGCGUAAAGGGCGUGUAGGCGGGAUGGCAAGUCGGUCGUGAAAUCCUUCGGCUCAACCGAAGAACGUCGGCCGAUACUGCCGUUCUUGAGGGAUGCAGAGGUCGGUGGAAUUGCCGGUGUAGUGGUGAAAUGCGUAGAGAUCGGCAGGAACACCCAGGGGGAAACCAGCCGACUGGGCAAGCGCUGACGCUGAGGUGCGAGAGCGUGGGGAGCGAACCGG